rnacentral:rRNA from 1 species
GCAAGUCGAGCGAGAAAGGUCCUUUGGGACUUAGUAGAGCGGCGCACGGGUGAGUAACGUGUGGGAACGUACCCUUUAGUACGGAAUAGCCCCGGGAAACUGGGAUUAAUACCGUAUACGCCCUUCGGGGGAAAGAUUUAUCGCUAAAGGAUCGGCCCGCAUUAGAUUAGCUUGUUGGUGGGGUAAUGGCCUACCAAGGCGACGAUCUAUAGCUGGUCUGAGAGGAUGAUC